AUGGCGGGGAGAGCAGAGUGGUGGACAAACAAUGUCGGAAAACCGAAUGAAAACACCGAGUAAAAGCAACCUUUGAGUAGUCGCUUUGUCUCGCCGGUUUGUUGCUACUGUAAGAAACUUAAUUCCUGAAGACAUCUGGAUGCUAAAACAAGCUUUGGAGCUGUUUUUUGUCGAAGACGAGUGUGGCUGGACGCUGAACACAACUGCGGACUCAAACUUCAACCAGGCAACACCUCAGCUCACAGAGGAGAGAGGCAGAGACAUGAAGAUUAACAGGACUCAAACUUGAACCAGCAAAUACUUCAGCUCACGAAGAAGAGACAGACAUGAAGACAUUUUCAGAAGGUCCUGAACUUCAUCGAGUCCUCUUCAUUGUUGUCUUCUUGUCCUCCUGCAGAGAAAAACAUGUUAAUCAAAACUGUCCUGAACUCUUUUUAACAUUGUUACAAAAUUUUCUUAUUACUUCUGUAGUUUACUUUUAGAUCGCUCUGACAACUUUAUUUACUUUUAAUUAUUCUACUCUUACUACUAUUGUUAAACAUUACUUUUAGAAAUUACACAUAAAUUUUAUAUUUCUCAUAUCAUAUUACAUGGUUUGUGUUACCUCUUAAACUUUU